UGGGGAAUAUUGGACAAUGGGGGCAACCCUGAUCCAGCCAUGCCGCGUGUGUGAAGAAGGCCUUUUGGUUGUAAAGCACUUUAAGCAGGGAGGAGAGGCUAAUGGUUAAUACCCAUUAGAUUAGACGUUACCUGCAGAAUAAGCACCGGCUAACUCUGUGCCAGCAGCCGCGGUAAAUACAGAGGGUGCGAGCGUUAAUCGGAAUUACUGGGCGUAAAGCGAGUGUAGGUGGCUCAUUAAGUCACAUGUGAAAUCCCCGGGCUUAACCUGGGAACUGCAUGUGAUACUGGUGGUGCUAGAAUAUGUGAGAGGGAAGUAGAAUUCCAGGUGUAGCGGUGAAAUGCGUAGAGAUCUGGAGGAAUACCGAUGGCGAAGGCAGCUUCCUGGCAUAAUAUUGACACUGAGAUUCGAAAGCGUGGGUAGCAAAACAGGAUUAGAUACCCUGGUAGUCCACGCCGUAAACGAUGUCUACUAGCCGUUGGGGUCCUUGAGACUUUAGUGGCGCAGUUAACGCGAUAAGUAGACCGCCUGGGGGAG
rnacentral:rRNA from 1 species